rnacentral:rRNA from 1 species
AGUGAACGCUGGCGGUAGGCCUAACACAUGCAAGUCGAACGGCAGCACAGUAAGAGCUUGCUCUUACGGGUGGCGAGUGGCGGACGGGUGAGGAAUACAUCGGAAUCUACUUUUUCGUGGGGGAUAACGUAGGGAAACUUACGCUAAUACCGCAUACGACCUACGGGUGAAAUCAGGGGAUCUUCGGACCUUGCGCGAUUGAAUGAGCCGAUGUCGGAUUAGCUAGUUGGCGGGGUAAAGGCACACCAAGGCGACGAUCCGUAGCUGGUCUGAGAGGAUGAGCAGCCACACUGGAACUGAGACACGGUCCAGACUCCUACGGGAGGCAGCAGCGGGGAAUAUUGGACAAUGGGCGCAAGCCUGAUACAGCCAUACCGCGUGGGUGAAGAAGGCCUUCGGGUUGUAAAGCCCUUUUGUUGGGAAAGAAAAGCAGCAGGUUAAUACCCCGCUGUUCUGACGGUACCCAAAGAAUAAGCACCGGCUAACUUCGUG